GGAAAUCAUAGGAUGCCGAAGUUCAAUGUACCCAAGAUUAAUAAUAUCAUAUUACAAUUCAAGAAAUAAAUAUUUUUAGUUGUGAAGCAGCUGUCCUACAUAGACUCCAUCACUUUCGAGCUUCAACCUUCUUUUGUUCUUUGGCAGCCUUCUCCUCCUCCCGUUUCCUUGCAGCAUCUGCUCUUUGUUGCCUUAUCAUAGCCAGACGUUCAAGAUCUUUCUUAGCCUGUUCAGUUUUCCCUUGUUCCUGCAUUCUCAUAUAUCGCUCAUGAGAUUGCUGUUUCUCUAUCUCCUCCCUUUCA
rnacentral:misc_RNA from 1 species